UUUUUAAUGUGGCAGGAGAGAUUGACAGGAAAAUGUCUUCAGAGCAAACGCACGCCAGAUGGAAUGAAAACGGUUUAUUGGAGUAUGGAGGUGCUGCUGAACUGAAUAGAGGGCGGGUUUAAGUUAUGAAAGACCUGAAGCAUACUCCAGUGAUCAGUUAGUGGAGAAUUAACUUCUGGAACAGUCUCAAAGAUUUUUCUUGAAAAAGUUUGACAAAAUAUUUUCCUUCUCAUGAUUUUGUCAUAAUUUGUUCAUCGGAUGAGAAUGGCAAGAAAGGGAAGUGAGAUGGGUAUUUCAGCUAUCUUCUGGAGAUCAUCAAGCACAUGCCUUGUAAAAGAAGUCUUUUCAUUAUGUCAGCAAAGAAAUCUGCAAGAAAGAAAGUUACCUUUGACAGAGAUUUUAUGUCAGAACUUUGUAUUAACAUAUUGAAGCAUGGAUUCAGAAAAAAAAGAAAAGAAAAAUCAGGACCAUAGUCUAGCCAAUCCUAAUGCACCGAUGAUCAUAUUGGAAAGCUAUCAAUUCUGCCACUCCAGGUUUUCUGUGGGAAGAAGUUCAACUAACAGAGGUGUUAUUAAUCACAUAUUGUUAUUUUUAUUUGUACCAUUAUGCAGCAGUUACUACUCCUUUGGACUCAUAUAAGAAAAGGCCACACAUUUCAUAUGAUAACUGCAAUGCCCAAGGGAAAAAAAAAUAGCAGAGUUAAGGGUGCUUUAAUGUUUUCUUGACAUUCUUUUAGCAUAUUCAGACCCCAAUCAUUAUUUUCUAAUCAAAUGUAACACUGCAGAACAUGAGAGUGUUUGUGCUUUCCUUCUAUCAAUUAAUGCACAAACUGAGAACAUUCAAGUCCUGUUUUCAAACAGGUAUGCAUUAGUGUGAAAUAAGAGCUGAUCACCCUGCUGUACUGUGAAG
rnacentral:lncRNA from 1 species